AAAAAAGUACGAGAUAGAAAAGAUCUUCUCUUUUUGAGUUCAAAUUAAAAAGAGAAUACUUUUUUAUAAUACGCCGAGCCCUCUUGCGAUGGAAGAGGUGAUGGUAUAGUCUAACAAGGGAGUAUCAUGAACUCUGUGCCAGCAGCCGCGGUAAGACAGAGGAUGCAAGCGUUAUCCGGAAUGAUUGGGCGUAAAGCGUCUGUAGGUGGCUUAAAAAGUCUCCUGUCAAAGAUCAGGGCUUAACCCUGGGCCGGCAGGAGAAACUCUUAGGCUAGAGUUGGUAGGGGCAGAGGGAAUUCCCGGUGGAGCGGUGAAAUGCGUAGAGAUCGGGAGGAACACCAAAGGCGAAAGCACUCUGCUGGGCCACAACUGACACUGAGAGACGAAAGCGAGGGGAGCAAAGGGAUAGAA
rnacentral:rRNA from 1 species